rnacentral:rRNA from 1 species
GACGAACGCUGGCGGCGUGCCUAAUACAUGCAAGUAGAACGCUGAAGGAGGAGCUUGCUUCUCUGGAUGAGUUGCGAACGGGUGAGUAACGCGUAGGUAACCUGCCUGGUAGCGGGGGAUAACUAUUGGAAACGAUAGCUAAUACCGCAUAAGAGUAGAUGUUGCAUGACAUUUGCUUAAAAGGUGCAAUUGCAUCACUACCAGAUGGACCUGCGUUGUAUUAGCUAGUUGGUGGGGUAACGGCUCACCAAGGCGACGAUACAUAGCCGACCUGAGAGGGUGAUCGGCCACACUGGGACUGAGACACGGCCCAGACUCCUACGGGAGGCAGCAGUAGGGAAUCUUCGGCAAUGGACGGAAGUCUGACCGAGCAACGCCGCGUGAGUGAAGAAGGUUUUCGGAUCGUAAAGCUCUGUUGUAAGAGAAGAACGAGUGUGAGAGUGGAAAGUUCACACUGUGACGGUAUCUUACCAGAAAGGGACGGCUAACUACGUGCCAGCAGCCGCGGUAAUACGUAGGUGGCAAGCGUUAUCCGGAUUUAUUGGGCGUAAAGAGAGUGCAGGCGGUUUUCUAAGUCUGAUGUGAAAGCCUUCGGCUUAACCGGAGAAGUGCAUCGGAAACUGGAUAACUUGAGUGCAGAAGAGGGUAGUGGAACUCCAUGUGUAGCGGUGGAAUGCGUAGAUAUAUGGAAAGAACACCAGUGGGCGAAAGCGGCUACCUGGUCUGCACUGACGCUGAGACUCGAAGCAUGGGUAGCGAACAGG